rnacentral:pre_miRNA from 7 species
GUUUAUCACCAAAGGAUGUCAGUACUGUGUAAGACCCCCUUUCAGAGAUCCCCACUCUAGUCUCGGGAGAGAGGGUGCACCCAAAGAAACACGAGAAUCC